UGGUGGGCCCCCUCCGGUAGUUCUUUCGCUCAGUAUUUUUUAUAUAUUCCAGAAAAAAUUCACGUAACUUUUCAGGGCAUUUGGAGAUGUGCAGAAUAGUGGACUAGGAUUUGCUCCUUUUCUAGUCCAGAAUUCCAGCUGCCUGAAUUCUCCCUCUUCAAAUAAACCUUGCAAAAUAAGAGAGAAAAGGCAUAAAUAUGGUACCACAAGUAAUAUAACAGCCCAAAAAGCAAUAAAUAUCAACAUGAAAGCAUGAUGCAAAAUGGACGUAUCAAGCCACCCUUUUCACUAGUGAGGACAAGAUCCGCUACUACUAUAUCCUUAAGAUGUUUCCUUUCUCUCUAAAGGAUGAUGCUAAAGCCUGAUUCACUUCUCUUGCUCCUGGAUGUGUGAGUAGUCCCCAGGAUAUGGUCUAUUACUUCUGUGAGAAAUAUUUCCCUGCCCAUAAGAGGCAAGCUGCCUUGCAGGAAAUAUACAACUUUUCUCAACUCAAAGAGGAGAGUCCCACAAGCUUGGGGGAGGCUCAUCCAGCUACAGAAUGCUUUGCCUGAUCACCCUCUUAAGAAGAACGAGAUACUUGAUAUCUUCUAUAACGGACUUACCGAUGCUUCUAGAGACCACCUAGAUAGUUGUGUCGGUUGUGUUUUUUGGGAACGAACUAUAGAACAAGCUGAGAUUCUACUGAAUAACAUCUUGAUCAACGAUAAUGCUUGGACUAUCCCCGAACCACCUCCUAAGCCAACUCCUAAGAAAAGAGGUAUUAUAUUCCUAAGUCCCGAAAAUAUGCAAGAAGACAAGAAAUCUAUGCAAGAGAAAGGCAUUAGAUCUGAAGAAGUCAAAAAUCUACCGCUUAUCGAAGAGAUCCAUGGUCUCGAUAACCCGAUACAAGUAGUAGAGGUAAAUUCUCUGUGUAGGUUUGAUGAGAGUGAUAUUCCUUUUGAUAAACCUGCUAGCCUAUGGUUUGAUGAAUUUGACAACUUUGUUGCCAAACAACAGAGUUUCAAUGAUUAUGUUAGCAGACAAUUGGAACAAAGCACUCGUAUGCUUUGUCAUUUAAGUGCUUGUGUAGACAGAAAUGUCAAUGAUCUGAAGCUUCUGAGUAAACAUGUCUCUAUGAUUGCUACUCAGGUAGAACAAGGACUUAAAGCUCAGAAUGACUUGCUCAAUGAAUUAAAUGACAACUCUGUCAGAGUCAUUACUAGAGGAGGCAAAAUGACUCAGGAACCUUUGUAUCCUGAAGGCCAUCCUAAGAGAAUUGAUCAAGAUUCUCAAGGAAUUAAUGCUGAAACACCCAGUCAUCCUAAGAAUAAGAAGAAGGAUGAUAGAAACCUACAUGUCAGUUCACCAAAUACUGUCACACCUGAAGAACCAAAUGAUAUUUCUGUGUCUGAUGCAGAAACACAAUCUGGUGAUGAACAUGAACCUGGUGACAAUAUGGACAGUGAUGUUCAUAAUAAUGCUCAACCUAGCAAUGGUGAGGAUGAGGAGAUUGAACCUACGGUUAAUCCUGAUAACCCACAACCUAAGAGAUACGAUAAGAAUGACUUCACUGCUAGGAAGCAUGGUAAAGAAAGGGAGCCAUGGGUUCAGAGACCUAUGCCCUUUCCUCCUAAUCCAUCCAAGAAAAAGGAUGAUCAGGAUUUUGAGCGCUUUAUUGAAAUGAUAAGACCCGUCUUUCUGCAGAUGCGGUUAAUUGAUAUGCUCAAAAUGUCUCCAUAUCCCAAGUACAUGAAAGAUAUCGUGACCAAUAAACGGAAGAUACCAGAUCUUGAGAUCUCCACCAUGCUCGCUAAUUACACCUUCAAAUGUGGAACUCCUAAGAAACUUGGUGAUCCCGGAGUGCCCACUAUACAUUGCUCCAUUAAAGGAAACUACGUAAGAACUGCCUUAUGUGACCUUGGAGCCGGUGUUAGUGUUAUGCCCCUCUCUCUUUAUCGUAGACUUGAACUGGAUAAGUUGACACCCACUGAAAUCUCUUUCCAAAUGGCCGACAAAUCAACUGCUUUCCUUGUCGGAGUUUGCGAGGAUGUGCCUGUUGUGGUUGCUAACACCACUAUCUUAACAGACUUUGUUAUCUUGGAUAUUCCCAAGGACGAUGCCAUGGCUGUCAUCCUCGGAAGACCCUUCUUAAACACGGCAGGGGCUGUUAUAGAUUGCAACAAAGGCAAUGUCAACGGUAAUGAGCAUACAGUGCACUUUUCAAAGAAACGAUAUCAAAUACAUUGCAUCAAUGCUAUCGAAAAAAAUCAUCGAUUCUUAUUGGGAGCUUUGAAUGACCUAUUCCUCGUGUUAAGAUGAAGUAUGAUUUGCUUGUUGGGGGGAUACAUAUCCCCAUUGAGGUGACCUAGUGACUAUUCAAAAAUUCCCCGUUCUCUUUUGCGAUUCAGAAAAGUUUUGUCAUGAGGAUUUGAACAACCCCAUUGACGGAUUUCUUUCGAUGACCACGAAAUGGAUGAAUCAAAGAGUCACAUACCUCUGUUUUAAGCUUUCACUUUAUGUUGCUUAGAAGAAAAUAGUACCCCAAAAAUAAAAGUUCUCCGAUGGUCCUGAAAAUCUAGUAUGAUUUUUUCUGGAAUAUUUGAAAAAUAUUGGGACUCAGAGCUGGCCUGGGCCCACACCAGUGGGCCACAAGCCCUGUCACCGCGACCUCCCCCCUGGCCGCGGGGACCAAGCUUGUGGGGCCCACAGGGACCCCCUCCACUCAUUCCAUCUCCCAUCCUCUUCUUCUACCUCUAGAAAAAAUCGUUUCGCAGCUCAAACCUGUGUUCUUGCUCAUUUGGCUGUGAUUUUUGAUCUCCUUGCUCAAAGCACCAUUCUCCGAACCGUUUUGGGGAAAUUACUCCUUGGUAAGUGACUGCUCCAUUGGUCCAAUUAGUUUCUACUCUAGUGCUUUAUCCUUCGCGUAUUCUAGCUACCUUGGUGACCCUGUUCUUGAGCUUAAAUGUUGAUUUUAGCUGGUCCCAAGUAGUUUUAGCGCGUGAUACGGUCUCUAGGCACUAGUAGGAGUAGUUGCUACAAGGUGUGGUUGGUCUUUAUUCCUUUUCUCUUGAACUCCAAAAAUUUCAGCAAAAAGAAAUUAUGUUCAGGAGGAAGUUUCAUGGUGGUUCCUCAAUUAAGAAGGGUCCCCGUCUUUCUAUUCGGGAGCCCGAUCCUUAUCAACUAAGGGAUGCACCGGUACAACCAUGUGAAUGGCCUUCCGAUGAGUUCAUGAUCAAAGAAGGCUUCAAGGAUGAGUUUGAUACACUUGUCCGCAAUGCCGGGUCAGAAGAAUUCCUCUCAGAUAAAUGUGAACAGUAUGCUUUGCUCACUGCCUCUUUCGUGCGUAGAUUUAAAUUUUCAGUUGGAUUUGGAGGAUUUCAAUAGGAUUUCCAAGAUACCCUAUGGGGGUAAUCUUAAAGAUCCUACUAAGACUUCGGUUAGAGAUUUUGUCUCUAGUAUAACUGUUGGAGAAACUAGAGACAUCACGCAAGCUACCAUAGGAGGCAUUCAUUUCCCUGCCUCGCACUACUUUUCCCUCUUCAUUGGUAGAUGCAUUAACGACAAGCUUGAACAUUGUCACCUAUGCACAUCCGACCUUAGUAUCCUUAAGAGCGCAGUGACGGGUGACAAAAGCUUCAACAUGGGAGCCAUUAUAGCAAGGAGGCUGAAUAAGAAUGCUAUUGAUGGGGAUUUCUUUGGCGGCAUCUAUGCCACUCGCAUAGCAAAUUUUCUUGGAGUACCCAUCCGUGCAGGAGAUCCCCCGCUCCAUACAGUUUCCUUGACCGCGUCGCUAUGACACGCUACCAGUUCCUUGAGAUUAACCGGCAGCGUGUUUUCCAUAUUACCCUUCCUGUUCCUACUUUCUUUGACUUUCAGGUAAAACGGAGAUACUACAUAACCAUAGGAGAGGCACAGGAGUUUGAGAGGGAGGCGACGGCUGCUCAUCUCCGUGAGGCAGCUAUUCAGGCAGUGGCUGCAGCGCUCCCGUAUAACCCCGAUUAUGAUUUUUGGUUUCGCCAGGACCGUCCUUGGGAGUAGACCAAGCUAGGCCAAAAGCCUAAGCUUGGGGGAGUACGUGUUUGCACCAACUUUACAUUCAUGCUUAUGCUUUCACUUUGUUAGCCGGUGUUUACACUUUUCCACUGCAUUAUCCAUGCUAGUUUAUUUUCAUCUUCUUGUUUUCUUGUUUUGUGUCCUUUUGAGAAAACCCAAAAAGAUUUUCCUUUCUUCUUUUGCUUGUUGGGAGAUUUCCCGUAUAAAUAGUUUUCUUUUUCUUUGUGUCAAGGUAGAAGAUAUUGGUUACAAUGUUUAGUGGCUCUUNNNNNNNNNNNNNNNNNNNNNNNNNNNNNNNNNNNNNNNNNNNNNNNNNNNNNNNNNNNNNNNNNNNNNNNNNNNNNNNNNNNNNNNNNNNNNNNNNNNNGCCGGGUCAUACGGCCAUGCUGGUCAGGGUGAUGUCGGUGUGCGGUUACCGCUGGUACCCCGAGUACACAGUGGAGGAACAGUACCGAGACUUCAACCAGAGCCAGUACAUCUGCACUGUUAGGGUAUUUCCAGACUACCCUGGAGCUGAGAAGCCAAUCCAUUGGUCCUAUGGGUUGGGGUCACCGUUGACAUGGCAGUACAGGAUGCUGCCUAUUCAAUGCUGACCAUUAUGAGAGUGAGACAUGCACUGCUGCAAAAUUCAGAGUUCUUCUAUGUUCCGGCUUCUCAGCCUGGUGAAGAGGGAUACCUCAGUGGAGUCUAUUUUGAUUCUUCUAUGGAGGAUCCACUACUGCAGUCCACUAUUGAGAUGCUAGAGAACACAGACAGGGAUGCUCGUGCUCUCCGCAUGGAGCUUUAUGCUACCCGUGCCCGUCUGUGGACGGCUUUGACGCAGCUGGCACCGGUAGUCCAGACAGGGUAUGGAGAGAUGGAGAUGUUGAACCCUGUUAGGACCCAUCUUCUGGCUCACGUUGACUGGCCAGCUAUAGGAGGAGUCACACCUCUUCGGGGACCCCUCUUACCACCAGUCAGAGGACCAAGGCCACAUCCAUGUCCUUAUGGAUCCCAGGGAUCUCAGGCUAGAGUGUUUCCUGAUCCGCAGGUUGAGCUUCCAGGUCAUGGAGGUAAUCUCUGUGAGAUGUUCUAUGCGGAUGCCUGAGCUGUGAGCGGAAGGAUAGGAUGGUAGUAGCCGUACGUUCACAGUCCUGCGUGACUUGUGAAGUAUGCUUGUGAUGUGAAAUGAAUUCCGGAGGCCUAGAUAAAUAAUGUAUAGGAAGCUUGUAAGCCUCUGAUGAGUAGUUUCAUAAUUUCAGUAGUUUGAUCUUCGGUUAAGGUUGUAUUGAACUAUGUAAGGGUGUGUAUGAACCAUGGUGUCUAUAUAGCAGUUGCUUGUUACCAUGUUGUUCGGUAUUCAUUUCCGCAUUCCGUGCGUCCAGUACAUUCUUAAUCCAUAGCUAGUAUUGAUAUGAUAUUGGUCUAAGCUGUGAGUUUGUUUGUCAGGAUGGUGUUCACCAGGUUGAACCGUGCCCCUGCUCAUGAGCAAGGCGAGGGUAGUCAAGCGUCGCAGGAAGACCUGCCUCACCCGCCUUUUCUGGUGGAAGUGAUGCUUGAGGCAGAGAGAAAUAAAAGGGAGACCAACCGACUGUUAGAGCGUAUUGAGCAGAAUACGGCUCGUCAGCCUAGGAGUGCUGCAGUGUCCCUUAAUGACUUUGUGAAGCUGAAUCCUCCAAAGUUUCAUCAUUCCGUCGAUCCCCUCGACGCUGAUGACUGGCUGUGCAGCAUCUCACGCAAGAUUCGCUCUGCGAAUGUGUCUGAGGCCGACAAGGUGACUAACGAGGCUUACAAGGAAAUGCCCCUUUGUGAUCCAACGAGCCUUGGUAGCUCGCUACUGCUCCAGACACAUUGGUUGACCGGCAUGUGUCCUUCUUAGCUGCUGUGUCUGUCCUCUUGGGGAAAUGUCACGCGAUGUAAUGGAGUCCUUGUAGCUUGCUACGACUCGUCUACACUCGCUGGUGACCGACACCUGCUUUGUUGGGUCAUGUAUGCUUGUCCUUGUGCGGUACUUCCACUUUGGUUUAUGACUAGACAUGUCGAUCCGGGUUCUUUGACAUUGGAAUGCUAGCGACACUAUUGCAUACGUGAGUCAAAAGACGCAAACGGUCCCGGCUAAGGUAAGGCUGCAGCCGUGGAGUUAACCGUGCGUGAGACCGCAAAGGGAUGCGAUGUGUUACAUGCUGGAUUCCUAUGGCUUAGGAUCGGGGUCCCGACAUGCAUCCACUUCCAUAAACCCAAAAGUUUUUCCAUGAGAGUCCACCAUACCUACCUAUUUGUGGUAUCUACCUGCCGUUCCAAGUAAAUUUGCAUGUGCCAUUCUCUAAACCUUCAAGCAAUAAUCUGUUUUGCAUGCCCGAACCGCUCAUGUGGUGACAGGGGACUAUUGGUAUCUUCCAUGUUAGGCGUGUUAUCCUCGGCAUGUGUUUAUUCACUGUCAUUCACGAUAAAGGGGCCGGUAAUUGGAAUGCCUAGUUCCACGCUUAAAUCGAAAACAUAACUGUAAAACAAGACUCCCCCGGAUUGAUGUUAGUAUGGACGGUACCCAAGGAUUCGGCUAGCCGUGGAGUGUGAUUGAUUGGUGGUGGGGGAGUUAAAACUUUACUUUUCUAUUUGGGACCGCCUAUAGCAUGAAUAGCAUGGAAGAUAUUGAGAACUCUUAGUCAUUGCGUUGACAAUGAAAGCAUGCCUCCCAAAAUCAUUAUCUCUGUUUUCAAAGCUUGAGCUCUGGCACCUCUCAAAUCAAUGCUUCCCUCUGCGAAGGGCCUGUCUAUUUAUUUUCCUGUUGAGUCAUCCUCUUCUUAUAUAAGCACCAAUUAGAGAGCACCUCUGUCAUUUUUAUGCUUUGCUUUUGAUUGAUUUUGAGUAUGACUAUGACUGGAUCUUCGUUGCUAUGAAUUACAAUGUUUAGUCAACCCUUGAUCUUUGAAAGUGCUCUGCAUUUAUGUUUUGCGGUCUCAGAAAGAGCUAGCGAGAUACCACCUAUUCAUAUUGCUUCAUGCUUGUUUUGAUUGAAUUGAUUGGUAUCUAAAACUCAUUAUUAUUUGCUCGCUAGCUGAUUAUGCCAUUGAUAUUAGUUUACCGUGAGACCUUUGUGUCACUUGCUUAUGUGGUUAACUUGUGAUCUUGCUGAAAUUCUGGUUAUGAGUUAGACAUAGUUGCAACAACAAGAUCAAACAGAGUUUGUCAAAGUUUUUNUUUUCUUUCUCUUUCAGUUUGUCAACUGAGUUGCUUGAGGACAAGCAAGGUUUUAAGCUUGGGGGAGUUGAUACGUCUCCNNNNNNNNNNNNNNNNNNNNNNNNNNNNNNNNNNNNNNNNNNNNNNNNNNNNNNNNNNNNNNNNNNNNNNNNNNNNNNNNNNNNNNNNNNNNNNNNNNNNCAACAGCCCCUACGACAGCGGUGCCUACAAGGGCAGCCGUGGGGCCCGUCUCGCGGCGAUUGGUACCGCGGUUCUCGUCGGUGCCAUUGCUGUGGGUUUCUGAUCACGAAGACGAAUCAAUGGCGAAAGCACGGCCAACAUAUGGAAUCGUGUUUCCUAAGGAGUUGUGAAGAUAUAUGAUAUAAUGCACCUACUACAGUAGUACUUGUUUUUUGCGAGACUACAGUAGUACUUGUUAAUUAUGUAAUUUGUGUACUACUACAAUUGUAUCAAAGUCAAUGCAAUUUGAUGAAAUUAAAUUGUAUCAUUUGACAUUUUGUUCUCUUGUCUAUUGAAGCCUUUGCUGCCAGCAAUUCCUCCACUACAGAACUUCGGAAAUGAUAAAAUUCCCAAUGUUCAGAUUUGUUCGCC
rnacentral:lncRNA from 1 species